AUUGAACGCUGGCGGCAUGCCUUACACAUGCAAGUCGAACGGCAGCACGGGUGCUUGCACCUGGUGGCGAGUGGCGAACGGGUGAGUAAUACAUCGGAACGUACCUUAUCGUGGGGGAUAACGCAGCGAAAGCUGUGCUAAUACCGCAUACGCCCUGAGGGGGAAAGCGGGGGAUCGCAAGACCUCGCGCGAUUAGAGCGGCCGAUGCCUGAUUAGCUAGUUGGUGGGGUAAAAGCCCACCAAGGCGACGAUCAGUAGCUGGUCUGAGAGGACGAUCAGCCACACUGAGACUGAGAAACGGCCCAGACUCCUACGGGAGGCAGCAGUGGGGAAUUUUGGACAAUGGGGGCAACCCUGAUCCAGCAAUGCCGCGUGGGUGAAGAAGGCCUUCGGGUUGUAAAGCUCUUUUGUCAGGGAAGAAACACCGGCUCUAACACAGUCCGGGAAUGACGGUACCUGAAGAAUAAGCACCGGCUAACUACGUGCCAGCAGCCGCCGUAA
rnacentral:rRNA from 1 species